GAUGAAGAACGCAGCGAAAUGCGAUAAGUAAUGUGAAUUGCAGAAUUCCGUGAAUCAUCGAAUCUUUGAACGCACAUUGCGCCCUCUGGUAUUCCGGGGGGCAUGCCUGUCCGAGCGUCAUUUGCAACCCUCAAGCCCGGCUUGUGUGAUGGGUGCCGUCCCCUACGGGACGCGCCACGAAGGCAAUGGCGGCGUCGCGGUUAUCCGAUCAGCCAAAGUGUAUGGGGCUUUGUCACUCACUUUACGGCCCGGACCGGCGCCAGUCCGAAUCAAUCUUUUUUCUAAAGUUGACCUCGGAUCAGGUAGGGAUACCCGCUGAACUUAAGCAUAUCAAUAAGCGGAGGA
rnacentral:misc_RNA from 1 species